rnacentral:rRNA from 1 species
UACGGGGGGAGCAAGCGUUGUUCGGAUUUACUGGGCGUAAAGGGCGCGUAGGCGGUCGUGACAAGUCACUUGUGAAAUCUCCGGGCUUAACUCGGAACGGUCAAGUGAUACUGUCGGACUAGAGUACAGAAGGGGCAACUGGAAUUCUCGGUGUAGCGGUGAAAUGCGUAGAUAUUCGCAAGAACACCAGUGGCGAAGGCGGCUCACUGGCCCGAUACUGACGCUGAGGUGCGAAAGCGUGGGGAGCAAACAGG